rnacentral:rRNA from 1 species
UACAGAGGUCUCAAGCGUUGUUCGGAUUCAUUGGGCGUAAAGGGUGCGUAGGCGGUUCUUUAAGUCAGUGGUGAAAGCCUCCAGCUUAACUGGAGAAAUGCCAUUGAUACUGAAGAACUUGAGUACAGACGAGGUAGGCGGAAUUGACAGUGUAGCGGUGAAAUGCAUAGAUAUUGUCAAGAACACCGAUUGCGAAGGCAGCUUACUAGACUGUAACUGACGCUGAGGCACGAAAGUGCGGGGAUCAAACAGG